rnacentral:lncRNA from 1 species
UGAUUGGCCCCGCUUGCAGCUAGGGGGAGAUCAGGUCUUCCCAGUAUGAAAAUGUGAUGCAAGGGGUAGGUCACGUUCUGAAUACUGUUUUCUAUUUUCUAUUUUACAAUGUGUAGAAGUUUGCUGCACGUUACUGAUUUAUACAUGUGUGGGUAUAUGGUACCUGUUAGGGAUUGAGGGGCUUUCUGGGAUGUGCUUUGGCAUAUGAUUGCUGUAAAUAAGUGUUAGCUAGCAUACACCGAUGUAAUGGUCACAUAAACCCACUGCUAACACAGUUGUCUUCAUGCUACAGAUUUUGCCAUCGACAGCCAUCAAUAUCGUUAAGCCCUGCACAACUAACGUGCUGUUUCCCAUUUAACAACAGAAAUAAAUGAUGCUCAACUGGGACCAUUGGCUGAUGUGAUUUAUUAGGAGAAAACACAACGCAAGGAGAUGUGGAGUAAAGGAGGAUGGAUACCCCAGCUGCCUGUGUUCAGCGGUGAUCAAAACAACCAAAAAAUAGGAACUGUUUUCCCUUUCCUUGGGCGUAAAAACUGUUCCAACAUUAUAUAAUAGUUGAUAUCAGGUCUGGUCAGAUCACAUCUGAAUAUUCAAAGCAGGAACGAUCCGUUUGGAAAGUGUCUAGAGGGACAGUCAACCUGUCAUAAUGGUGAGGGGAUAGAGUGAUAAUGAUGAUGUUUAAGGUGUUGUCAAGAAUGACAGGCUAAGGCCUAGUUUUCUAUGACAUUGUAGUGGCAUAAAGCAUGAAUAGGAAGGCCCCACUCUCACAUCCACACACUUAAGAAGUUUCACUUACACACACAUGGAGCACAAAGAAGAAUGAACAUUGAGAGAAAAUUGACAUUGACCCUAGAAAAUACGUUUCAAGAAAUUAUUUGGAACUGGAAUUUAUUAAAAUAGUAAUUAAAGGCUAAAUAUGUUGAAGGUUGAAAACAUUGGGAAAUGUUAAAGGGUGUUUAAAGUAAUAUUGUAAAAUGGUUAAGAAGUAGAUGUUUGUUUGCUUUAAGGUACAAUGCAUUUAGGCUAUGUUUAUUAUCAUAAAAAA